rnacentral:rRNA from 1 species
AUGAAAUGCGAGAGCAAGCCGGAGGGGCAGAUCAUGAAGAAAUGCACACAUUUUGAAUGGCUGGAUGACUACGUUAAGCGGAUUCAAUUCAAUGGGGCCCCAAUCCGGGAGCUCAAUCUGCCGUCAGCAACAACGAAUUUGGUCUCUGAAAGUUCUGCUCUGAUAGUUGGGGAUGCACAUCUGAAGGGGGAAAUAAAAAAGAUGAAUAAGAACUUGAAGCAGAUGAUUUAA